CUACGGGAUGCAGCAGUGGGGAAUAUUGCACAAUGGAGGAAACUCUGAUGCAGCAACGCCGCGUGGAUGAUGACACUUUUCGGAGCGUAAACUCCUUUUAUAUAGGAAGAAGAUGACGGUACUAUAUGAAUAAGCGCCGGCUAACUCCGUGCCAGCAGCUGCGGUAAUACGGAGGGCGCAAGCGUUACUCGGAAUCACUGGGCGUAAAGAGCGUGUAGGCGGAUUAAAAAGUCAGAAGUGAAAUCCUAUAGCUUAACUAUAGAACUGCUUCUGAAACUCUUAAUCUAGAAUAUGGGAGAGGUAGAUGGAAUUUCUGGUGUAGGGGUAAAAUCCGUAGAGAUCAGAAGGAAUACCGAUUGCGAAGGCGAUCUACUAGAACAUUAUUGACGCUGAGACGCGAAAGCGUGGGGAGCAAACAGGAUUAGAUACCCUUGUAGUC
rnacentral:rRNA from 1 species